rnacentral:piRNA from 4 species
UAGCACUCUGGACUCUGAAUCCAG